UGGGGAAUUUUCCGCAAUGGGCGCAAGCCUGACGGAGCAACGCCGCGUGCGGGAGGACGGCCUGUGGGUUGUAAACCGCUUUUAUCAGGGAAGAAGUUCUGACGGUACCUGAUGAAUCAGCAUCGGCUAACUCCGUGCCAGCAGCCGCGGUAAGACGGAGGAUGCAAGCGUUAUCCGGAAUUAUUGGGCGUAAAGCGUCUGCAGGUGGCUAUGCAAGUCUGCUGUUAAAGAGUGGAGCUCAAUUCCAUAAGGGCAGUGGAAACUGCAUAACUAGAGUACGUUCGGGGUAGAGGGAAUUCCUGGUGUAGCGGUGAAAUGCGUAGAUAUCAGGAAGAACACCGGUGGCGAAAGCGCUCUACUAGGCCGUAACUGACACUGAGAGACGAAAGCUAAGGGAGCGAAUGGGAUUAGAUACCCCUGUAGUCC
rnacentral:rRNA from 1 species